rnacentral:rRNA from 1 species
AUUGAACGCUGGCGGCAUGCUUUACACAUGCAAGUCGAACGGCAGCGCGGGCUUCGGCCUGGCGGCGAGUGGCGAACGGGUGAGUAAUGCAUCGGAACGUGCCCAGUAGUGGGGGAUAGCCCGGCGAAAGCCGGAUUAAUACCGCAUACGACCUGAGGGUGAAAGCGGGGGACCGAAAGGCCUUGCGCUAUUGGAGCGGCCGAUGUCGGAUUAGCUAGUUGGUGGGGUAAAGGCUUACCAAGGCGACGAUCCGUAGCUGGUCUGAGAGGACGACCCGCCACACUGGGACUGAGACACGGCCCAGACUCCUACGGGAGGCAGCAGUGGGGAAUUUUGGACAAUGGGGGCAAGCCUGAUCCAGCCAUGCCGCGUGCGGGAAGAAGGCCUUCGGGUUGUAAACCGCUUUUGUUCGGGAAGAAAUCCUCUGGGCUAAUACCCCGGGGGGAUGACGGUACCGGAAGAAUAAGCACCGGCUAACUACGUG